AUUGAACGCUAGCGGCAGGCCUAACACAUGCAAGUCGAGCGAGCGGCGGACAGGUGAGUAAUGUCUGGGGACUGCCCGAUAGAGGGGGAUAACUACUGGAAACGGUGGCUAAUACCGCAUACUAUCGGCUAACACAUACGGGCUUAGCUAGUAGGUGGGGUAAAGGCUCACCUAGGCGACACUCUGUAGCGGGUCUGAGAGGAUGAUCAGCAACACUGGGACUUAGACACGGCACAGACUCUUACGGUGGCAGCAGGGGGGAAUAUGGCACAAUGGGCACAAGCGUGAGGCACCCAUGAGGCGGGUAUGAAGAAGGCCUUAGGGUUUUAAUGUACUUUCAGCGAGGAGGCGUUGCUCGCAGAAGAAUCACCGGCUAACUCCGUGCCAGCAGCCGCGGUAAUAC
rnacentral:rRNA from 1 species